UCUAAGGUACCCAAGGCUUCCUAGGCCUUUGAGAUCUCUUGUUCUUUAAGCCAUCACACAUAGCUCCGGGACCUGGGAAGUUUAGUCAAAUGGAGACACAAGAGUCUUGAUGCUAAAAGCUCAGAAUUUAUAUUAAAAAAAAAAAAAACCUUCAUAGUUCUGGUCAGGUGAGAUUUGCCACGGCAGAUCACCCUAGGUGAUAGGCUGCAUAAAGGAGAUAAUCACCUUCCAGAAUUUUCCCAGCAUUGAUUUCCCCUAGAACUUCCCAGACUUUGCUCAGCAAGGCCUUGCAUAUGGCUCCUGCAUUAACAGGGCCAGUGCAGGUAGGUGGCCUCCUCGGUACAGCGUCCAUCUGUGGGCAUCUCAGUGCAGCAGGGAGAUGGACCUGUGUCUCUGCAACUGUGACUCUGGUUCCUCCCUGGCAGGAAGUGAGGCUUCCAGAUACUGGGCUGGCCCUUCUCUUGUCAGGCAUGAACUUCCUAGGAAGCCAGCUCCCCCUGCCACUUUCCCAUCCCCACCCCAUUGGCAGGGUGACAUGGCACCAGCAGCUGGCCCUGUGUCCUCUAUGCUCAAGGCCCCUGUUCAGGCAGAGAGUGGCGAGUCGGGGUGGGGGUGCCCGGGGCAUUCAGAACAUGUCUUAUCUGGCUCAGCACAUCCUGACCUUCCAUCCAUGAUAUUCCCUGGCUAUCUGAGGAAGCCCCUACAAGAACAGGGCUCAGGCCUUCAUUGAGGCCAGGCUACCACUCCCUGUACUUUAAGUAAGAAGUGUUCUGGAACAUUCUCAUAAAAAGUUACUUUGUCUAGUUUAUCUUAGCCCUCUCCACAGUGAGCUCCUAACCUAUAUUUCCUGCCCUGUACCCCUUCCUCCCCACCUUCCAAGAGGCACAUCACUAGAGACGCAAUUCUUGAGCCAACACUUCUGGAAGCCUACAGAUUGUUCUGCCUGGAAUAAGCCUGCCCUCUCCUAUACUUUAGUGUGCCAGGCCCAGGGGUCAGAGGGACUAGGAAUUAGAAAUGAAAUGUCUGCCACAAAUUGCUCACAUAAUAAACAGCAUACUCCCACAGGCUGCACUGGAGGAGAUCCACAGAUUCUCAGGGACCUACACCUGCAUGAACACUUUCAAGGGACGGACAUAGACUCAAGAGGAGCCUGCCGGAGGGCCAAGGCAUCUGGGUACACACCCACGCACCCGUCCGUUGGCAUGAGCUGCUGGAUGAGCAAGACAAGAACCUGGCAGUUUCCUAGGCCAGCCCCAGGACCUUUGCACAGAACUGAUGGGUAUAACUCUGACCCCCAUGGGGAGGCAAGAAGCCAGUCAGCAGCUGCCUUGACACUUGUGUACAUUUCUAACUCUCUGGAGUUCAUUGUUAAAUUGCUUCUUGAGUCUAACCAGCCUGAGCAGUGUGCAUAGACUAUUUCCUGGAGGGUCUGCCCCCAGACGCUCCGUCUUGCCCUCCAAAACCCGCUCAUCACCCUCAGCUUGUGCAAACCGGUUAAGUGGCAGGAAUGAAGAAUAAAGAGGUGGCAUUUGCA